UGCAUAAUCCCUCCACUUCCCCACCCCUAUACAGUUUUCAUAAUCCUUUUGUUUUGUAACAUCCGUAUUACUCAUACAAUAGUCAUAACACAACUCUUCCACGUUCCUUGUUUCUCUUUUCCCACAUCACAUUAGAGCUUCCAUAAACAGUUUGUACCAAAGCGUUGAGAGUGGUAGGCGAAUGAUGAAACCGAAGUCUAUGCUUUCACCUCCCAUUCUGCACACAACGCACCAAUAUAGAGAUAGACUUUCAUUAAUCUUUCCUCCUUCGGCAACGAAACAAGUAUUAACUCUACCAUGAGCCAAAAUCUAUACAAAAAUUUGUGCCUUAUAUGGUUCUUUUGCUUUCCAAAUCAUCUGAAGAGGAUAAAAAAGGGGAGGAGAUGAUUCAUUAAGUAAUCUGCUGAAGAAUGACUUGCACAAAAAUACAUGGGAUGACUAAAUCUUCCAAUAAUUUCUAUCCGAUAUCGUCAAUCAAUAGUAAAGACACAUUUUCAUGUAAAUGAUGUAAAGAAGAAAGCACCAUAACCUCCAAAUCUUUCUAAAACCUAAUCUCUACCCCCAAUCCGUACCGCUAAACAAAGAUAGGAUUGAAAGGAUUAUCAUGUGAUAUCUCUUCCCAAGGACAUUGACCCAAGUUCUUAACCACAAUAUCACCCAUUAACAUUUAUUUAACAUUUUCUUUCAAUGCGAAUAUUCAGCAGUGAUUACCAAUAAAGUAGAUGCAACAUGAAUGUGAAUUUACAGAUAUUAAGAGCGAGCAGGAGUAUAUGUUACGUCACCUGCUACGUAGGUGGACACAGGCUAUUAUU
rnacentral:lncRNA from 1 species